ACCAGCCGUGAAGUAUUUCCUGUAUUUUUGGAGUAUUGAUUACAGCGUUUAAAAUGUAUGAAAUGAAAAGUCAUGAAAGAGAUAAGGAGGAGAACAGGCGUGUUUAGUUAUAUAUUUAAUGUACAAUGUCGGAGUCCUCUGUUAUGCUCAACAACGAACAUUGGAGACGUGGAGGGCCGGCCCCCAGCAGCGCCAACCGGCCCACAGCGAGCCAGCGGAGGAGAUAUAUCAGCUGGAGAGGUGGAGCUCGCUCUCUUCCCUUCGCUGACGAGAGCUUUUUUAAUUAAAGCACCAUUUGAACCUUCUCAGAGACUCCAUUUAAUCUCCUUUUAAAGCUUCUCUCCUGGACGCGAGAAUAACGAACACAGCAUAACAACAGCAGAUCGGGCAGAGCUGCAGAUCGGGUAAUGGCAAUGUGGCUGAGUUUUGGGCGCGUUCUGGAAAGUGAGAGAAUUAUGUGGAGUAUUGUGAUGCUGCUGGCCACGGCCCUCGGUGUGGAUUCCUAUGCUGUCCAUGACCUCCAUGAGCGUUUGGCCCAUGGCCGCCAGCUGAAGAUCUAUCUGCCCAAGAAUGCAGAGAAGCUGGAGUUCAUCUCAGCUGAGGAUCCCCGCAAGAUCUAUAUGUACUGGGAGCAUUCCAGACUCAGGACCAACAAAGGCAGGGUGUCUGGCACGGGCAGCGACCGACGCUUGUACAUCGACAAGGUGACCUAUGAGGACGAGGGGACAUACAUCCAGAGAGACUUCUGGAAUAAAGAGAUCGCUUCUGUCAAAGUGGCCGUCACACCCAGACACAACUACGAGAAGUGCGUGGCAGGAGAGAGCCUCCUCAUCUCCCUGGAGGGCAUCGACCUGGCCGACGCCGGCCUCUCCUUCUCUGGGGAGGCUGCCAACGUUACACUGGUGCGAGAUGGUGCUCCAGUCUCCCAGGACCUUCCAAAUUAUUGGGACCGUGUUCAGACCCACUCCAUUAACAUCGAGAUCAGGAACGUGAACUACAGUGAUGAAGGACACUAUACCCUGAGAGACCGCAGGGACCGCAUGGUGUCAAUCACCAGAAUGGACCUGACAGAUCACCAUAAUGACGCAGAGGGAAACCCCCUCCUGGCUCUGCUCUUGCUGCUGGGCAUCCCGGCUGGGAUCUGCUGCUGCUGUCGGAAAAAUAUUUUUAAGAAGAAAGCCCCCCACGCUACAAUGCUGCAGAACUCCCCACAUGUAAUUCACCCCCCCCCCUGUGGUCCUGUUGGACCUGCUCCCCCAUACAACACUCCAGGACAGCCAGGCGUGGUGUACUACUACGGGCCGGACCCCAGCAUGGGUCCUGCAGUCCAUCCUCCCCCCGGCCCAGGGCAGUGGAACGCCCCCCCCCCCCCGCUCCUGGAUUCAACCCGGGGUACCCAGGCUACCCCCCCCAGAACCCUUCCUAUCCUCCUGCUGGUCCAGCUAUGUUUCCCCCUGCCCAGCCUCCACAAUGGAACGAUUCACCACCAGGCCAGUACCCCCCUGGACCUGCAGCGCAAAUGGGCUAUGCUUCAGCUCCAGCCAUGUACAGUGCUCCACCUGCAGCCGCCAGUGAGCAUGCUCGGGAGGAGGUGAAGACCAGCAGCAUGGCAGCCUCCCCCGCUGACCCCCUGCUGACUGCCCCAUCACAGUCGGAAGCUGCAUCCUCUCCUAUGGCUCCUGUGGCCCCCUCCUCCACCAACAUCCUACAUUCUGCUGAUGACGCCUUCCAGUUCACGAUUGAAGGAGACAAAAACUCCACAAGCUUCCUUUAGGGUGCUUCACCUGGAGCAGCCUCCUCACUUUGUUCUUACAGGUGGAAACAAUGGAGAGUAGAUUAUAUUCUUUGUCUCCUUGAUCCAUAUUUAAUCCCAUCUCCCUGAGGAUCAAGUGUUUUUAGGCUCAAUGAGCAAUCAUUUUUGGAAUAAGGUCUACUGACUCUUUUGCAAUGGGAGUCCAUUAUUUGGGGAUGUAAUUUCCAGAGUUGAUGAGACAAAGAAAGGAUUUUGAUUCUUGAAGAGUAAGCAUAGGGAAUAGAAGUGUAUUUUGAUAAUUUGAUGAGUAAAUCUAAACAGCUGGGUUCAAGUUACAAAUAUGUCUUAGCACAUGCUUGUGUUUUUAUCUACAUUUGAUUUAUUAAUCCUUUUUUCUGUUGUUGAUUUGAGAGGAAGCCAAGCAAUCAAGCAAAAUACUUGAGAGGAAGUCGAAAGAGUCAGAGCCAGAAUCAACAAAAGAAAAGCAAGCAGUUCACAGAGCCAACCAUUGGCUGCCAACCAUUGGCUGCCAACCCCUCAACAGUAACUCCUCCCAGACUGCCCGAUAUGAGAAAUGCUUCACUGGCAAAUAAGUUGCCUUGGGGUGUGUUCAGACUAAAGACUAAGAAAAUUAUUCUUUUUUAUUUUACUAUGAAUUUGGAAAUGUUUUCAGUCUGUGAUUUUGGCAGUCUAUGAGAGGAUAAGACACUGACUGUAAAGGUGUUUAAUAUAUCAAACUAAUGUAAGUGUCAUAUUCUGAACACACCUUGGGGUAACAUUACUUCUUCAACAGUGAAUCACCAUCUCAGGUUGGCUUACGUUUCAGUGUCAUUUAAGACUCUUUCUUGGUGGCAGAUCAUAUGAAACCCACAUUAAGGUCCUUUGUAUGUCAGGAGCAUUCACUGUCUGGAGGCAGGUCGGGGUCUCUAGUCAAGCACUACCAGUUGGGUUAUGCUUGGGCGGGUCUGAUUUCAGAAGUUCACUCAGAUACUGACUUAACUGGAAGAACCGUUUUGAAAUUGAUAAACCAAAAUCUACCUCAUGUUUAGAUUCUAUGCCUCUUCAUAUGUCAACAGUUGUGUUUGUAUUAGUCAAUGUUAUGAUUGUGUAAAGAAAAAUUGGUAAUGGGUUUGGUGUAAGUACUCGGAACUAAAAUGUUAGAAUUGUACCAGAAGAACCACUCUGACUGCCUUUUAGCGUGGCCUCAUACCUCCUGACUAUUACAGCAAAAAAGCAUAUCACUCCAUCCAGAGCACGUGUCCUAGACUUUAUCACCAAACCAAGGAGCUGCAUUGAGCUAGACAGUGCAGCGUAAUGUUUGUCAGCUGCUGAGUCUGCCAUGAAGAUUUAAGAAUACACGCACAUUGAUUUUUACAGACCAAGUGCCACCACACCAAUAUGCUUUGAGCUGUGGUACUUUGUUACUCUUUCAUAUAAGAUCACUAAACAGUAGCUGGACGUCCCUCCUGAUAUCCAGAUGGAGGCAGCAACAUUCCUAUCUAAAAUGUUCACCAAAAAUACACUAACAGGUGUUCAUUCAACUGGAAAUAGCAUCAAUAAUGCCUUUCUUAACAGGAUUGUCUUUGUCUCUGAAGGUGAGUUGACGGGUAUGACCUUAGAUUCAUGUUGUGUCCUGCAUAUGAUGGGGAGGCAGCUAGCUUUCUUUAGCCACUAGUUCAACUGAACAGCCAACUAAGGUCUGUUUUUUUUUUCAAAAUCCUUUUUUUUGUUUCAUGUAUGGCAACCUCAAAAUGAACUGUGGUUGAACAUUUUUUUUUUGUAAAUGUAUUCAAUGAUACUAACAAAGUGUACAUGUAUUUGAUGCUUUGGUAUUGUAGAGUUGGAGACACCAUCUACUGGCUUCAUAUGGUUGGUUCUUUGGUCUCUCCAGUUCCAUCCCCCUAUGGAUACCAUUAAACAUUUGGAUUCAUA